rnacentral:rRNA from 1 species
UACGAGGGGGGCUAGCGUUGCUCGGAAUCACUGGGCGUAAAGGGUGCGUAGGCGGGUCUUUAAGUCAGGGGUGAAAUCCUGGAGCUCAACUCCAGAACUGCCUUUGAUACUGAAGAUCUUGAGUUCGGGAGAGGUGAGUGGAACUGCGAGUGUAGAGGUGAAAUUCGUAGAUAUUCGCAAGAACACCAGUGGCGAAGGCGGCUCACUGGCCCGAUACUGACGGCUGAGGCACGAAAGCGUGGGGAGCAAACAGGG